GGAGGAGUCGCAUAGUGGCCGAGUGCGCAGUCUUGGAAAGACUGUAUACCGUAAGGUAUCGUGGGUUCGAAUCCCACCUCCUCCGCCA
rnacentral:tRNA from 2 species